GCCCGGAUGGUGGAAUCGGUAGACACAAGGGAUUUAAAAUCCCUCGGCGUUCGCGCUGUGUGGGUUCAAGUCCCGCUCCGGGUACCA
rnacentral:tRNA from 1 species